CAACCAGAGAUCAAAAUGUUCUGUGUCUACAAAACACUACCAAUGACGUCACAGGAAGGUGGCUCUGUGCACACCGGUUCACACAGGUGUCCUUCGCAGGUGUGAGGAAAUGUGCGUCCAGAAAAACGAGUUCAACUUUCCGUGCCGUUAUUUGAGCUUGUAUCACAGAUUAGGUAUGGCUUACAAUGUUGUGGGAAACUGUGCGCCGUUAUUUUUCAUAGCCCUCGCUUUUGACAUUGGUGGUCUGGCCGUUCUUUUAGUUGGUAUUUUCGCAGAUCUUAAAUUGGACGGUCACUUCUACGGUGAUUUCCUAAUCUACACAGGCGCAAUCAUCAUCUUCCUCAGUUUGUUUUGGUGGGUUAUUUGGUACACGGGAAACAUAAAGGUUAACUCCGAGGACCUUGAGAAAAAAAACCUGCACAACUUUGCACACUGGGCGAGAAAGUUUUCCGAGCGGCUGUCUAAAGGCGGCAUUAAAACUCUGGAAGCCGGUGAAAGGUGCAUGGGUAAUGGGAAGGAAUUUGUCAACGGAACGGUGCUGGCGCACGUUCCGCCACGAAUCAACAAAAGCGGUGUGAUGGACAACAUGCCGACAGAGAAAACGGUCGAGUUGGAUUUCCUAAAGAACUCUGAGGUGUUGCAAAGCAUUGCGGAUGGCAAAAGAUUUUUAUGACACAGAUGGGUGAUCUCUGGUUUGAAGAAUGUUUGCCCCACCCUAUUUUAACCCCUACGGACUAAAGACAUUUGCCAAUGUGAACAAAGGAUACUCUCAAUAUUAUUUUAUCCUGGACGAAUGCUGACACAAUCUCUGGACCCUGCAGAGAGAAUAUCAAUCUGUGAAUAGAUGAAUAACUUAAUGUUUUUACAUUCUGAAUUUUUACAUGUUCUUUUUUGGAGCUAACUUCUUUAAAUAAAGUUUAUUAGGUUGUUUUUA